rnacentral:tRNA from 1 species
GCUGGGAAGCUCAGUGGUAGAGCGCUUGCCUUUCAUGCAUGAGACCCCGGGUUCGAUUCCUCAGCA